UACGGGGGGGGCAAGCGUUGUUCGGAAUUACUGGGCGUAAAGAGCUCGUAGGUGGUUUGUCGCGUUGUUCGUGAAAACUCACAACUCAAUUGUGGGCGUGCGGGCGAUACGGGCAGACUGGAGUACUGCAGGGGAGACUGGAAUUCCUGGUGUAGCGGUGGAAUGCGCAGAUAUCAGGAGGAACACCGGUGGCGAAGUCGGGUCUCUGGGCAGUAACUGACGCUGAGGAGCGAAAGCGUGGGGAGCGAACAGG
rnacentral:rRNA from 1 species